rnacentral:rRNA from 1 species
UACAGAGGUCUCGAGCGUUAGGCGGAAUCACUGGGCUUAAAGCGUGUGUAGGUGGAUCGUUAAGUACCUUGUGAAAUCCCACGGCUUAACCGUGGAACUGCUUGGUAUACUGGCGGUCUUGAGCCACUUAGGGGCUACCGGAACAAAUGGUGGAGCGGUGAAAUGCGUAGAGAUCCGGAAGAACACCGGUGGCGAAGGCGGUCUGCUGGGGUAAUGCUGACACUGAUGCGCGACAGCGUGGGGAGCAAACAGG